AAAAAAAUUAUUUCUUCACUUCCUCGUAUUCAGCCUCAGGUGGUGGUGAUUGAUCUCCUCCUUGUGAACCACUGGACGCACCACCAGAACCGCCGCCGGUCAUGUGCUCUCCAAUCUUGGAAACAGCUUUGUUUGCUGCAUCAAGUUUCGACUUGAUAUCAUCAAUGUUUUCAG